AGCUCACAAUUCCUGUCGGGCAGCCUCCUGCAGAGCCUCUGUGAACACAGCUCUCUCUCAGGGGCUGACUCCCCAGGAGCUUCAAACAACAAAGAAUUUAAUUCUAUUUUGUUACCAUCUGAGAUAAUGAAUGGCUUGACCACAGACUAGCAAAAAAGAACUAAAAGCAAAACCUGAACAGCACAGAAAAAUACAGACAUGUUCCCAGCCACGUUCACACCCACCAAGGGUCCAGAAGAGCCCUUGAAGUCAGCUGGCCUCCUACCCCCACACAGCGGCUAGUCUCUGGUGUAAUCGUAGGAGUCACCAGGUUGCCUGUGCAGAGCCUGCUGCUGCCUAAGGACUGAGGACCCUCAAUUACACGAAGGAUUGAAGAAAUGAGAGACAAUUUGCAUCAGCGUUUGCAAAACUCCACAAAAAACCUUUCCUAUUUUUCUUUGGCACUUGACGAAAGUAAUGAUGUUCGUGAUUCUAUACAACUUCUAAUUUUUAUUUGUGGGACAAAUUACUAUUUCGAAGUCACAGAAGAGCUUGCUGCACUGCAAAGCAUCAAAGGAACAACUACAGGACAGGAUAUCUAUGAAAAGGUUUGCCAAACUGUGAAUGGUUUGGAGCUGGACUGAGCAAAACUAGCCAGCGUGACAACUGAUGGUGCUCCUAACAUGGUGGGGUCUAAGAAAGGAGUAAUUGCUUGCAUUAAUCGAGAGAUGGACAAACAUAACCAUUCUCAUCCAAUAGCCAUACACUGCCUCAUCCACCAAUAAGCGCUGUGUCGUAAAUCACUGAAUUGGGACUCUGUUAUGAAAACUGUGGUAUCUUAUGUUAACUUAUUAGAGGUAAUGCACUAAACUACAGACAAUUUCAGGAAUUUCUGUCUGAGCUAAGUGUUGCCUGUGAAGAUGUUCCAUACCACACAAAAGUCCAUUGGCUGAGUCAAGGAAGAAUUUUGAAACAUUUCUAUGACCUACUUCCCACAGACUACAGCUUUUCUGCUUUCAAAAAACAAGUACCAGAGCUCAAUGAUGCAGAAUGGAAAUGGCACCUUGCCUUUCUGACAGAUGUAACAGAGCUACUCAACAAUUUUGCUGUGCAACUUCAAGGAAAGGGGAAGCCCUUCUGUGAUACACAAUCACAUGUGAAAGUAUUUGAAGUAAAAUUAGGCCUCCUCCUCAAACAAGUGAAGGAGAAAAAUUUCUGCCAUCUCCCCACAAGGCAAAAUCUGUUAGCAGAAAAUCCAUUGGUUGCAUUCCCAAAUAAAACAUGUGUGGAUUCACUGGAAAAGUUGCAAAAGGAGUUCCAAUUUAGAUUUAAAGAGCUUCAUCUCCAUGAACAGGACAUACAGCUUUUCCGUAACCCAUUUUCUAUUGACAUUGAAAAUGUGGAUACGAUUUACCAAAUGAACUGGCUGUACUGCAGAAUUGUGACUCUCUGAAAGAUGCAUUCGAGUGAAGCAGCCUUCCUAAUUUCUAUGUAUCUGUCCCCUAUGAGACAUAUUCUAAUCUCAGGAACCAUGCACUCAAAAUGGCAACCAUCUUUGGUAGCACUUAAGUCUGUGAACAGACUUUUUCCAGAAUGAAACAUCUGAAAUCUCCAACCAGAUCUAGACUAAAGGAUGCACACUUGCAUCAUUUGUUACGACUAGCAGUGACAAAUAUGGAACCGAACAUUGACUAUCUCAUUAGCCAAAAGCAGGCCCAUAGUUCCCAUUGAAAUACUGGUAAGUUUGUUGAUUUAACUUUACUUGUUCUUCAUUUUAAAUAUUGUAUUUGUUCCCAUUUUGUUUUUUUACUUCAAAAUAUGUGCAGUGUGCACAGGAAUUUGUUCAUAGUUGUUUUUUUUUAAACUAUAGUCCGCCCCUCCAAUGGUCUGAGGGACAGUGAACUGGGCCCCUGUUUAAAAAGUUUGAAGACCCCUGCUCUAGACCCAGAUAACUAUGAUUCUUAGGAUGGACGAGAGGGGGCGCCCAGCUCCCAGCAAGAGACCUGCCCAGCCCAUUUCUAAGGGAACAGUUGGGAGAAAUUGAAUUUAGCAGCCAGGAGGGGGCAAAAGAAGGCAAAUUUCUCAGGAGUAAGGACCAGGCAGAGAGAAACCACUAACCUUUUAACAAUGCUUAAAAAACUAAUUAUCGGGCGGCACCUGUGGCUCAGUCGGUAAGGCGCCGGCCCCAUAUACUGAGGGUGGCGGGUUCAAACCUGGC